GCACUGCUGAGGAGUCCCAUACUAGGAUGAAACGGCUGUCCAGUGC
rfam:Schistosoma curassoni strain Dakar, Senegal genome assembly, scaffold: SCTD_scaffold0008947